rnacentral:tRNA from 3 species
GGAGGGUUGGCUGAGUGGUUUAUGGCGCGGGUUUCGAAAACCCGUGGACGCAAGUCCUCACAGGUUCGAAUCCUGUACCCUCCGCCA